GUGAAUCAUCGAGUCUUUUGAACGCACCUUGCGCCCCUUGGAUAUUCCGAUGGGCAUGCCUGUUUGAGUAUCAUGAACACCUCAACUCUCAUGGUUUGCCAUGAUGAGCUUGGACUUUGGGGGGUUUUUGCUGGCCUAUGGUCAGCUCCUCUCAAAUAAAUCAGCUUGCCAGUGUUUGGUGGCAUCACAGGUGUGAUAACUAUCUACGCUUGUUGUUGUACACCAGGUAACCUUCAGAGAUGGAGGUUCGCUGGAGCUCAUAGACGUCUCUCCUCAGUGAGGACAGCUUUUUUUAACGUUCGAUCUCAAAUCAGGUUAGGACUACCCGCUGAACUUAAGCAUAUCAAUAAGCGGAGG
rnacentral:rRNA from 1 species